GACGAACGCUGGCGGCGUGCUUAACACAUGCAAGUCGAACGGAAAGGCCUCUUUCGGGGGGUACUCGAGUGGCGAACGGGUGAGUAACACGUGAGUAACCUGCCCUUGACUUUGGGAUAACUUCAGGAAACUGGGGCUAAUACCGGAUAGGAGCUCCUGCUGCAUGGUGGGGGUUGGAAAGUUUCGGCGGUUGGGGAUGGACUCGCGGCUUAUCAGCUUGUUGGUGGGGUAGUGGCUUACCAAGGCUUUGACGGGUAGCCGGCCUGAGGGGGUGACCGGCCACACUGGGACUGAGAUAAGGCCCAGGUGGCGACGGGAGGCAGAAGGGGGGAAGAUUGCACAAUGGGUGGAAGCCGGAUGCAGCAACGCCGCGUGCGGGAUGACGGCCUUCGGGUUGAAAACCGCUUUCGCUCAUGACGAAGCUUUGUGUGACGUUAGUGGGUAAAGAAGCACCGGCUAACUACGUG
rnacentral:rRNA from 1 species